CCCUUAGAUGUCCUGGGCCGCACGCGCGCUACACUGGUCGAUGCAACGAGUUUCUUUCCUUGGCCGACAGGCCUGGGCAAUCUUUGAACAUCGAUCGUGAUCGGGAUAGAUUCUUGUAAUUUUUGAUCUUAAACGAGGAAUUCCUAGUAAACGCAAGUCAUCAGCUUGCGUUGAUUACGUCCCUGCCCUUUGUACACACCGCCCGUCGCUCCUACCGAUUGAAUGGUCCGGUGAAGCGUUCGGACCGUGGCCUUUGGACGGUUCGCCGUCUGUUGGCUGCGGGAAGUUCGUUAAACCUUAUCAUUUAGAGGAAGGAGAAGUCGUANCA
rnacentral:rRNA from 1 species